GCCUCCAUAGCUCAACGGACAGAGCGGCGGUCUUCUAAACCGUAGGUUGCUGGUUCGAAUCCAGUUGGAGGCG
rfam:Anaerolineaceae bacterium oral taxon 439 strain W11661, complete genome.